AGAUACUCUGGUGUUUCAUAUCAGUCUGAGCAUCGAUGUGUUGUUGUGACAGUCAGACCUCAUCACGUUUUUCAUCUGAAAAUGAAAAUUGCUACUACAUUGUCUCUGGUGAACGACAAGGAGAUCCUUCAAAACGCGAUCAAAGAUGAACUGGUGAGACGAGGAAUGGCAUCAAGCAUCCGUGUUCGACUCCUGGGUGGCGAUUUAGUGGAAGUUCGAACACCAACUCCCCCUUCUGGCUGAUUGUGGGAGUGUAACUGACGUCUGUUGAGAAAUGCGUUUGAGUUUGAUUCAGAUG